AACGAACGCUGGCGGCAUGCCUAACACAUGCAAGUCGAACGCGACCUUCCGGUUUAGUGGCGCACGCGUGCGUAUCGCGUGUGAACCUCUCCUUUCGUUCUGAAUACCUCCCCGGAAGGGGUUCUAAUAUCCGCUAAUUUCCUCGAACCAAAGAUUUUUCUUCAUUGGAUGUGCCCUCGCUGGAGUUUCUCUUUUGUAUGGUAUAAGCCUACCAAGGCGACGAUCAAUAGCUGGUAUGUGAGGAUGAGCAGCAACACUGUGACUGAGACACGGACCAGACUCCUAGGGGAGGCAGUAGUGGGGAAUAUUGGACAAUGGGAGAAAGGAUGAACCAGUAAUGCGGGGUGAGGGAAGAAGGUCGGAGGGUAGUAAAGCUCUUUUAGCCGGGAUGAUAAUGACAGUACCGGGAGAAUAAGCACCGGCUAACUCCGUG
rnacentral:rRNA from 1 species